UACGUAGGGUGCGAGCGUUAAUCGGAAUUACUGGGCGUAAAGCGUGCGCAGGCGGUUUUGUAAGUCUGACGUGAAAUCCCCGGACUUAACCUGGGAAUUGCGUUGGAGACUGCAAGGCUGGAGUCUGGCAGAGGGGGGUAGAAUUCCACGUGUAGCAGUGAAAUGCGUAGAGAUGUGGAGGAACACCGAUGGCGAAGGCAGCCCCCUGGGUCAAGACUGACGCUCAUGCACGAAAGCGUGGGGAGCAAACAGG
rnacentral:rRNA from 1 species